CAAAAACCCUACCUCGCUAGUCGCUACGCUACUCUACACCCCCCCUGAGAUCUCCCUCUCCAACCCAGAUCACCAGCCCAUGACGGCGCUAAUGGAGGUGCCGUUGGAGAUGUUCGAUGCCCUCAGGCAGGUUCGCACAGUUCCUGUCACCCAAUGCUGCCGUGCGCCGUGCCGCCGAGCAGAGCAUCUCCUCUGCUGCCUCUUCCCCGGCAGUAUAAGCGGCGACGAUCUCUGGAUCGUCUGUCGAGUCCGAGCACUGCGAGCACAUGCAAAUCUUGUUGCCGUCGCAGAAUCCGCCCUUGUAGCCCUCGUCUUGGCACCGCUUUAUGCAAGACAUGCGUGUGCGGCAUUCUGGAACUUGGCUGCGCCAAAACGGGCAGUUGCCUAUGUGCUCACGUCCAACAACCUCUGCUAAUCAAACAGAGGAUUACUCUCUUGCAAGCAGCUUUCACAAGCAGGAGGUAAAAGAAAGACAACAGGAUCGAAGAAGUAUUUGUUAAGUGUUACCUGACGGCAAAAGGAACGACAGCAUUAGAGCAGCUGCAGCUGCAGCGAUGAUGACUUUGCAAGCCAUGGUUUUGCAACCGCAAAAUUAUCAGUAUUAGCAGUUUGUCUGAUUGACCUGUAGGUAGAUAGGAUGGAUGGCCUGGAUCCGCCGGGAGUGCAUAUUUAUAGGAUGGUGAUGAUACACUGAGCAUAUUGGUUGGGUGUUAAAAAAAAACUUGUGCAUUUGAUCUUUAGAAACCAUUGAUCAUAAUGAGCCAUAGUAAGACCGUAAUUAAUGUAUAUAAUGUAUGACUAGAGAGAAAAUUAA